GCGUUGCUGGUAUAGUGGUUAGCAUACCUGCCAUCCAAGCAGUUUACCCGGGUUCGAUUCCCGGCCAACGCA
rfam:Nematostella vectensis strain CH2 x CH6 NEMVEscaffold_103_Cont12721, whole genome shotgun sequence.